rnacentral:rRNA from 1 species
GGAGGGUGCAAGCGUUAUCCGGAUUCACUGGGUUUAAAGGGUGCGUAGGUGGGCAAGUAAGUCAGUGGURAAAUCUCCGGGCUUAACCCGGAAACUGCCAUUGAUACUAUUUGUCUUGAAUACUGUGGAGGUCAGCGGAAUAUGUCAUGUAGCGGUGAAAUGCUUAGAUAUGACAUAGAACACCAAUUGCGAAGGCAGCUGGCUACACAAAUAUUGACACUGAGGCACGAAAGCGUGGGGAUCAAACAGGAUUAGAUACCCUGGUAGUCCACGCCCUAAACUAUGGAUACUCGACAUUUGCGAUAAACUGCAAGUGUCUGAGCGAAAGCAUUAAGUAUCCCACCUGGGAAGUACGAUCGCAAGAUUG